AUGAAGGUUCGAGUGGCAGUGUAGAAUGAACAAGCAAGGAUUUCUAUUUCAUUAAGCGUAUCAGGUUAAGCUGUGAUGUAGAUGGAAGCAAGCAGAGCAAAGCCUUCAGUGUAUAUUAAAUUAGGCUCAGGAUUCCAUGUCUUCAUACAUGUAAUCCACAUGAAUUAUUCCGCUGCAACACUCGGUCUAUUCUACUUUAUUGAUGUGUUGUACAUAUUUUAAAUCAAUAGCUUUGAGAAUUAUAUCACUUGAAAGUUAGACAACUUGUCAUUGUGUAUUGUAAGUUGUCUACUCAUGAGUUUUAAAAGUGAUUGCCUAUGUUUAUACAAUAUUAAAGUAAUUCAUCGUUAAAGAGGGUUCAUUAUUAUUAUUUAAA